rnacentral:rRNA from 1 species
AUUGAACGCUGGCGGCAGGCCUAACACAUGCAAGUCGAGCGGAUGAAGGGAGCUUGCUCCUGGAUUCAGCGGCGGACGGGUGAGUAAUGCCUAGGAAUCUGCCUGGUAGUUGGGGAUAACGUCCGGAAACGGGCGCUAAUACCGCAUACGUCCUGAGGGAGAAAGUGGGGGAUCUUCGGACCUCACGCUAUCAGAUGAGCCUAGGUCGGAUUAGCUAGUUGGUUGGGUAAAGGCCUACCAAGGCGACGAUCCGUAGCUGGUCUGAGAGGAUGAUCAGUCACACUGGAACUGAGACACGGUCCAGACUCCUACGGGAGGCAGCAGUGGGGAAUAUUGGACAAUGGGCGAAAGCCUGAUCCAGCCAUGCCGCGUGUGUGAAGAAGGUCUUCGGAUUGUAAAGCACUUUAAGUUGGGAGGAAGGGCAGUAAGUUAAUACCUUGCUGUUUUGACGUUACCAAAAGAAUAAGCACCGGCUAACUUCGUG